rnacentral:rRNA from 1 species
UACGAAGGGUGGCAAGCGUUGUUCGGAUUUACUGGGCGUACAGGGAGCGUAGGCGGUUGGAUAAGCCCUCCGUGAAAUCUCCAGGCUUAACCUGGAAAGUGCAGAGGGGACUGUUCAGCUAGGAGGAUGGGAGAGGAGCGCGGUAAUUCCCGGUGUAGCGGUAGAAAUGCGAUAGAGAGUCGGGAGGAAGGCCGGUGGCGAAGGCGGCGCUCUGGAACAUUUCUGACGGCUGAGGCUCGGAAAGCGUGGGGAGCAAACAGG